UGGGUAGUCCGCACGAGCGCACCCUAUCCUUAUUUGCCAGCGCGUAAUGGCGGGAACUCUAAGGAGACUGCCGGUGAUAAACCGGAGGAAGGUGGGGACGACGUCAAGUCAUCAUGGCCCUUACGAGUAGGGCUACACACGUGCUACAAUGGCGUAUACAGAGGGUUGCAAAGCCGCGAGGUGGAGCUAAUCUCACAAAGUACGUCGUAGUCCGGAUCGGAGUCUGCAACUCGACUCCGUGAAGUCGGAAUCGCUAGUAAUCGUGGAUCAGAAUGCCACGGUGAAUACGUUCCCGGGCCUUGUACACACCGCCCGUCACACCAUGGGAGUGGGCUGCAAAAGAAGUGGGUAGUUUAACCUUCGGGAGAACGCUCACCACUUUGUGGUUCAUGACUGGGGUGAAGUCGUAACAAGGUAGCCCUAGGGGAACCUGGGGCUGGAUCACCUCCUU
rnacentral:rRNA from 1 species